GCUGGGUGUGGUGGCGCACGCCUGUAGUCCCAGCUACUUGGGAGGCUGAGGCAGGAGAAUCGCUUGAACCCAGGAGGCGGAGGUUGCAGGGAGCUGAGAUUGAGCCACUGCACUACAGCCUGGGCAACAGAGCGAGACUCCGUCUCAA
rnacentral:SRP_RNA from 2 species